rnacentral:lncRNA from 1 species
CAAGAGGCUGAGGCAGGAGAAUUGCUUGAACCCUGGAGACAGAGGUUGCAGUAAGCUGAGAUCGUGCCACUGCACUCCAGUUUGGGUGACAGAGCAAGACUGCCUCAAAAAAAAAAAAAAAAAGUCUAGAAGUAGGCAGUCUUUGAAAUCAUCAGGGAUUCAAACUUCUGUCUUUUUGUUUUCCUGUCUUUGAUGUUCCAUCUCAUAGUCCAAAGUGGCUGCUAAAGUUCCAGCGAUUACAUGUGCAUUGCAGCUAACAGGAAGGGAUAUUAUAUAAAGCUUAGUCAUGUGGUGAUACCUAGCUGGGAAAUGUCUUUAUUCCAGGUGACUAAAUUUGUUCUGGUGGGGUUUAUUCCAGGUUGCUCAGCUAAAAAUCAGUAUUAUUGCAAGGAAGAAGGAAAGAAUAAAUGUUGGGGAAUAGAUAAAUAUGAUGUAACUGGGAACUAUUGGGAAUAAAGUAUCCAUGAGAAUUUAAUGAAAUCAAGUCUCAAAAAGUUUGUCUUUCCACGUUAAAUACAUAAUUUAAGAUAUACAUUAAACCAUUUUCAGGAAGAGUUUUCUAAUAAAGCUAAAAGCACCACUCUCAAGAACCUGGUGUCAGAAGCACAUCACAAUUGAUCACUCUUAAUGUAGGUGUUAGGAAUGAAGAAGAGCGAGUGAAUGUUGAAAACAAAGGGCCUCAGAGACUUAUGGAUAAAUGGACUCUGGAAGGAUAACAGCAGCCUGCCACGACUUGAGGAAUGAUUUUGAUCAUUGUCAGUGGAGUUACUCUGAAUCACAGAUUUGGGACUUAGGGAGUUUUAUUUUAGUCUCAUUCUCCUAAACAGCCUUUCUGUACUUGGCUUUAAAAAUCAGAGAAAGAAAUUUCAGCUCCAAAGGACAAUAGUUUUUUUCAAAGGGGCAUUUCUUCCUCUAAAAUGAGUCAGUUGCAAUCCUGACUUGCCAUUUCCUGCAGCAAUAAUAUAACCAGUGGUGCUCUAAGUUAACUUAAUGGACUUACCUCACUAUUAGGGAGUGAUUUAUGUACCGCAAAGAAUAGAGUUCACUUUGUGUGAAGAAAAAAAACAAAACCCAAAGAACUUUCCACAUAAACCAGCCCUCACCAUCAUAUUUUGGCCCAUUUAUUCCCUCUGGAGGAUGAUUAGACCUAAACCCCUGGCAGGUGGGGACUCUUUUUCACUGGGUGUCCUCAGUGUCUAGCACAGUGGUCCUCAUAAAGCUGGCUCUCCAAAAAUAUUUGUUGAAACAAUCUGAAAAUGGUUCAUAGAGACAAUGACAAAAAGCACAAAAUAAAAAUUAAUAACACAGCUUUUUGUUGGUCUUAAAUCAUUUCUAGUAGCUCUAAGAUAAAAUGAAUUCAUAAUAAGAUGGUACUGAUACUGAGAAGUCUUGAGUGUAAAGAAGUGAUGAAGGAAAAAUAUUUAUUUGACAACUGCCCUUCAGUGUGAAAAAUCCAUAGCUGUAAACCACAAUGAAGCAAAGAAAACCUAAUCUGUAAGAGCUUAAGCAUUUUACCAUACUAGAGUUCAGGAAACAUGUCUAUUCCUUUUGCUAUUUCUGUUUGCCAGUUCUUCUGCCAUUUGCCAAAAUAAAGAUGUCCCUUCUCCAGCCCAAACUCAGCUGCAAAGGUGAACUAAUGACUUUAGAAUAGAAGACAGAUGCUUCCUGCAGGAGGAUUCUGGGGGAAGACAAAGAAUGUGUAACCAGUACUGGUUACAGUAUUUGUGAGGCCCCGUGCAAAAUGAAAACACAGGGCCCUUGUUUUGAAAUCUGGGGAAAAGUGCCAUUAAAGAUACUUAAAGAUGGUGACCGCAGAGCAUUAAACCAACCAUGAGACACUUCUGACCGUGGGACUCUGUGACUGUGCACAUCAUGCACCCUUGAAACCAGCUCUGCAUGUCACCAAGGCCACAUUUCCCCCUGGCCUGGUAAAUCAUUCAGCCCAUUCACUUGGACAAAGUACUUAAUCCAGAGUGAGACCAUGCAAGCAAGGACAAUUAUAAUUCUUCCCUGAAAUGAAUACAGCAUAAGGAAGUUGGAAGAGAGUAACUCUCUUUACUGUUGGGUUGCCAAGCCUGGAAGAUGUCAAGUUGGUGCUGCUGGCUGCUAUUUUUCCUGCCAUCUGAGAGAAGGCAUGUCUUCAGUUAAAAAGAAUAAAGCUGAACAGAGAUGAGAGAUAGAGAGCUGAAGGACUAAGGUAUUGGUUCCUAGAACCCUCCAUUCUGUUCUGUGAAUUAUUUCUGUAUCUUUUCUUCCACUAUGGAGCAAUAAAAUUAAACUUUCUUAAGCUGAGUUCUAUUGUGUAUUUUUUUUUAUAACUUGCAACCAGAAAAGUCCUAAUACAGUUCCUGUAACUGUAGAUAAGACAUUACCACCAGCAGCAAAGAGCAGGCAAUAGAUAGAGUAAAAAGAUUCAGCUCCCUACAAUAUGGUAAAGCUAUGAAAAUGAGGCAACAUAUAGGCUCAAGGUGGAAGAAUAUUUUGGAAAUUUAGCAUCCUAAUAUCUUUUGAAAAGCAGUUAAUAUUUGAAUAAUCUAGGUCCACUACAAUCAAUAUUGCAGGUAUUUCCCAAAGCAUGGUCAAAUAUGCCAUAGUUUAUGUGACAGUGUGCUAGCCUAAAAUAGGGGGUAAGAACAGAAAGCAAGAAAAAGGUAAGAAUGUAACAGUCCUGAGUUGGUUAUAAUUUCUUAGGAAUUAUAAGGGGAGGAAAGGAGUUGAGGGAUAUAAGGAUGAAUGACUGUCACAUUUAUCUACCCUUUUAAAAAUAUCUUUGUAAACCUUAUAUAUUAGAUUGCUUAUAGUUGUCUACAGUUUGUUUCUAAAGCAGUAAAGACUAUUAACAGAGGAACUUAAGGCACUGAAGCAUAACAUUGUUACAGAUAUGGUUUGGAUUCGUAUCCCUGCUCAAAUCUCAUGUACAAUUGGAGAAGAGGCCUGGUGGGAGGUGAUGGGAUCAUGGGGGCAGAUUUCCCCCUUGCUGUUCUCGUGAUAGUGAGUUUUCACGAGAUCUGAUCCUUUAAAGGUGUGUGGCACUUCUCCCUUCUCUUUCUCUUCCUCCUGCUCCACCAUGGCAAGACAUGCUUGCUUCCCCUUUGCCUUCCACCAUGAUUGUAAGUUUCCUGAGGCCUCCCAGCCACGCUUCCUGUUCAGCCUGC